rnacentral:rRNA from 1 species
CGGCGAGUGAAGCGGCAACAGCUCAGAUUUGGAAUCUGGCCCCCUCGGGGGCCCGAGUUGUAAUCUGGAGAGGAUGCUUCUGGCGCGGCGCCUGGCGAGUUCCCUGGAACGGGACGCCGGAGAGGGUGAGAGCCCCGUACUCCAGGACGCCUAGCCUCUGUGAAGCUCCUUCGACGAGUCGAGUAGUUUGGGAAUGCUGCUCUAAAUGGGAGGUAAAUUUCUUCUAAAGCUAAAUACCGGCCAGAGACCGAUAGCGCACAAGUAGAGUGAUCGAAAGAUGAAAAGCACUUUGAAAAGAGGGUCAAACAGUACGUGAAAUUGUUGAAAGGGAAGCGCCCGUGGCCAGACUUGCGCCCCGCGGCUCACCCGGCGGACUCCGCCGGGGCACGCCGCGGGGUGCAGGCCAGCAUCGGCUCUUCCAGGGGGACAAGGACGGCGGGAACGUGGCUCCUCCGGGAGUGUUAUAGCCCGCCGCGCCAUGCCCCUGGGGGGGCCGAGGACCGCGCUUCGGCAAGGAUGCUGGCGUAAUGGCCACCGGCGACCCGUCUUGAAACACGGACCAAGGAGUCAAGCAUUGGGGCGAGUGUCUGGGUGGCAAACCCGCACGCGAAAUGAAAGUGAACGCAGGUGAGAGCUUCGGCGCACCACCGACCGAUCCUGAUGUCCUCGGAUGGAUUUGAGUAAGAGCCCCACCGCUUGGACCCGAAAGAUGGUGAACUAUGCCUGAAUAGGGUGAAGCCAGAGGAAACUCUGGUGGAGGCUCGCAGCGGUUCUGACGUGCAAAUCGAUCGUCAAAUUUGGGCAUGGGGG